rnacentral:rRNA from 1 species
AUCAGGAGUGUGCUGGCCUCUAGGGGCAGUGCACGCUUCACUAGUCUUUCAACCACCUGUGAACUUUUGAUAGAUCUGUGAAGUCGUCUUUCAAGUCGUCAGACUUGGUUGGCGGGGAUUUAAACGUCCCGGGGUGACAACCCAGUCAAUUUACUUAACACACCCCAAAUGUAUGUCCACAAAUGUCAUUUAAUGGGCCGUGUGCCUAUAAACCAUAAUACAACUUUCAACAACAGAUCUCGUGGCUCUCCCAUCGAUGAAAAACGCAGCGAAAUGCGAUAAGUAAUGUGAAUUGCAAAAUUCAGUGAAUCNUCGAAUCUUUCAACGCACCUUGCGCCCCUUGGUAUUCCGAGGGGCAUGCCUGUUUGAGUGUCAUUAAAUUCUCAAACUCACUUUGGUUUUUCCAAUUGUGAUGUUUGGAUUGUUGGGGGCUGCUGGCCUUGACAGGUCGGCUCCUCUUAAAUGCAUUAGCAGGACUUCUCAUUGCCUCUGCGCAUGAUGUGAUAAUUAUCACUCAUCAAUAGCACGCAUGAAUAGAGUCCAGCUCUCUAAUCGUCCGCAAGGACAAUUUGACAAUUUGACCUCAAAUCAGGUAGGACUACCCGCUGAACUUAAGCAUAUCAAUAAGNCGGAGGAAAA